CUCCCGCGCCGUGAGACGCAGAGUAUUCUGGGAACGCCCGACACGGAAAUGUUUUCUUUCGACGCUGCGUAGGUCUGUGGGCGCUUGGCUUUUCUCUCUGUGGUUUUGAGAGUUAGCUUCUCGUGAACCGUUUGUCAAUAUGUGUGACGCACACGAGGGUAUGCAGUAUGAGGAGGAGAAGGAUGAAAUCCCCCAGAUUUGUGGCAAGAGGCAUGCUAGAUUGUAAUCAGCCAAGAUAUUUGCUGAAGUUUGAACAGCUUUACCUCUCCAAGCCCAUAAGAGAUGGUGCUGCUUCACCAGUGUUGCCACGUGAAGCCAGAUUAAGAAAUCUCACAAACAGUCAUUAAAGAAGGUGAAGAACAACUUCAGAUGCAGCAUCAGAAAACCUUUAUUGGUAAAGUUCCAGUUAUGUUGCAUUCAAUUUACUGUCUACUAAAUGGCUUAGCAGAUCAUGAUCUUUGUGAGUUACAUGGAUGCCUCUUGGAUCCUGAUGGCUACUUCAUUAUUAAUGGAUCAGAAAAGGUUCUGAUUGGUCAAGAGAAAAUGGCAACAAACACAACCUUUGUGUUUGCCAAAAAGGAUUCUAAAUAUGCCUACACAGGAGAGUGUAGAUCAUGUCUGGAGAAUUCUUUUGACCCACUAUCUGGGUUAGCAUGCUGGCAAGAGGAGGACAGGAAACCUGAUUUUACUUGGAGACAGAAAAAAAAGCCACAGAACUAUGGAAUCUAAUUUUAUCAUAAAUGUAUAAACAUGAUCUCUACAAUAAGAAAAUCAACUUUUGAAUAUGCUAGAGUACUAAGAAACAGUUGCCUUUUUUUUUCACAAAAUUUAAAAUGUAAAGGGUGGCAUUUUAGAUCAUAGAACUUCAUAAACUUUGCCUGUAAUUUCAGUUCUAUGGAUUAAGAUUACUAUAGUGAAUGCAAUUAUUAGACACAUUAAAUUGAAUAUUAUCUCAAUUUCAAGACAGAAGAAUGAAACUCCUUGCUCUAAAGAUAGCCUGUGAGAGUUAUGGUAAUUUAGCAGUGUAAAUGAUCCAGUCAUUGGCAAAUGCUUCAGAUGUGAUUUCAGAUGUGCUUUCAGAUGUGAUUGGUCAUAUUUCUAAAUGUCAUGUAGAUAUGUCGCUUCCCCCAACUAUGGAGAAUGUAGAAACAAAGGCUUGGAUCUGGGCAUUAUAGGAGGAGAUAAGAAUGAGUCGUUUGUGUCUCUAAAUUACUUUCCUUCUAUAUCUUGUCUGUGUCAUCUAGUUGUGUAUACAAUAUAAUAUAAAUAUGGGGGAUGGUGUCAGAGACAGUCUGUGGACAAGAACAGGAAUGAGCUGGGAGGAAGUUAAACAUAUCUUUAGCUUCUUUAUCUGAUCCUUUAUUUUCCUUUGAGACCCUGUGACUAAGAGAAUAUUUCAGUGUGGGUCAGGAUCAAUCCCGAUUGGGGGUUUGGGGAGCAACAGGGGAAAGGAGCCCUGUAACAAGAGUUCUCAAUCUUUUUGAUCCACAGAUCACUUUAACUUUUUUCUAUAGGAAGAAAUUCCACAGUCCACCUACUUCUUGUGUAUCACUUUAAAAAAAUGUAUAUUAACAUAUUACCACUUUCAACACAGAAAAAAACAGAACUUCCUUAUGUAAAGACAGCCUUUACAGAAUUAUGGGGAAUUAUGUACUUUGGUCAUUUAAAUGAUCCAGUUAUUGGUGAUUGCAAAUGGCCAUUACUAUGCAUACAUACAAAUUAAUACUGUAUAAACUUAAUUUCACAAAAAAGUCUGCUGAAUAUUAAAUAAGUAUAAUACCUCAAGGCCUCUGAUCACUGUUACUAUACAUUUCUAUAUGUUAACAUGAUUAAUCGGUGCCCUAUUUUUGGUGCUCUGCGUUUUAAAUCUACUUUUAUUCUUUGAAAUAUGUAAUAUUCAAAUCUAAUUCAUGGUGGAAAAUAUUUAUCCCAUAUAUUUUAGUGGGAUUUGCAUUUUAGACUCAUCUAUGGAGAUGAUCUGAAGGGUCCAGAGAGAUCUACUUCACCAGCUUUUUAUAAAAGUAGUAACAUAGGGUGCUCUACUCUAGGGCAUGUGAAGGCAGAGCAAAAGAUGGGGCCCACGUUUCUCAAGCUGCAGUUCAUCAGAGCUGAGGAUGCAGAAAGCCAACCAAGGCCACAAGUACCUGUGUCAGGUUCACAGCUCUAAUCCUCCUGGCCUGUGGUUUCUCUUACCAUCUCAGUUGAACACCUUCACUGUGAUAGAGACUAUUGGAAAGAAUUCCUCAUGCUCCAAGGAAAUUUGUUAGUUUUACCUCUCAUCUAUCUACUCCAGCUUUCUGCCAUCCUUGCCAAUUUCUAAAGGGAGAAGAGGAAAUUACAAAACUGAAAGCUAAUGCUGAACCAGUGAUUAGCGGUAAUUACCAACUUGAUGUCUACUGAUCAGAUCCAGAGAGACAAUGCCAUUUUGGGCAACUCUCAACCCAGUUGCUCCUCAGUUUACACAUCUGUAAAGGACAUUGGUCCAGUUAUACUUCAGUCUGUACUAGUUCAAACUCUAGGAAUAUGUAUUUCAUACUUGGGCUUCACAGACAGAAAAAGUGUUUGGUUUAGCCAAGAAAAACAAAACCAAACCCAGUGUAUCAAAAUAACUUUAUACCUUAAAAAAAAGAUAAAUAAAUAGUGCUUUCUUAAAAAUAAAUACUGUUGAUCAAAUAUUCCAAUAAACUAGGAUGUAGAUCACUUAAUGUCAAGACUCAUGGCCAGGUGAGCCACGUCCCGCACCUGGUGAGGAAGUGGCUGUCCCUGGAGGUUGAAUGAGAGUGAUUUCUUUCUGACUGUUGCAACCUGCUUUACCGCCUGAAUUUCAGACUCUCCUGCUGUUCAGAAUACUCUUACCUUCCUAAAUCUGGCCAUAGAAUACAGAAGCCAACAGAACUGACUUAAGCUAGCCAGCCCACAAAUAGAUAUUAAACACCUGCUGUACGUCAAGCUAGGAAUAUAGUAGAGAAGAUGACAGGUAAGUGUUCUAGCCUCAUGGAAUUUAUAGUCUAUAGCAGACAUCAGGUUUUUAGUUUCCAGAAGUGAGAGUUGUUUGCUUUUCAGAGAAACUUAAGAGUAUGAUCCUAUAGGCUCUGCAUGAACAGGGCUAUGUUUCAUUCCUCACUGUAGACCCAGUGCUCAGUACAUAAUAGAUAUCCACAAAUGUUCAUGGCAUAAUUGAGGGAAUAAUCAGAUAUAAACUGGAUACUUAACAAAAGACCUAAACCAAGUUUGAGAUAUGCUCCAAGAGUUUGUUCAAGAUCAUCUGGACAUUCAGUCCCUUUUUCAGAGUAAUGAAGGAAAAAAUUGCAGUUCACUGUUGGCCGAGAGUCAGAACCUUGUUUCCUUUGUGGUGUGUGGGUUGUGUAUUUGUUUGCCAGUUUGCGGGGGAAGGAAGGAAUUCAGGGAGGUUAGUGGUUUUGUUAUUAUUUUGUGAAGCCUCCUGGGCUAUUUUUUUCUUCCUUUAAUCAACAAAUAUGCACUAUGCUAGGCAUUGUCCCAGGCACUGAAGAAACCAUGAUGAGCAGGACUGGCGAGAACUCUGUCCUCUGGGAUCUUCUAUUUCAGAACUCUCCAUGGACUGGUGGGCUAUUCUUUUCUCCACUUACUUUGGAUGACUCUAAUGAUUACAUACCACUUUUAUAAUGAGAACCUUUUUAAGAGGGUAAAAAAAGAGACUUCUUCAACAAAGUAUGGAUAUAAAUCUGAGUUUUCAGUACAACUCUGAGUGAGCAUAUUUGGGCAGCACUGCUUCCAUUGCACAAAAUGAAAAGACUAGGCACUAGUUCACCACAGGGAGUAUGUAAUUAGGCACAACCUUUUCAGAAAGAAAUUUUGCAGUUUCUUUCAAUAUUUUAAAUUUUUUUAUCUUCUAACUAAGUGAUUCCAGUCUUUUGAAUUUAUCCUACAG